UCCCUGGUGGUCUAGCGGCUAAGGCUCCUGUGCUCUCACCACUGUGGCCCAGGUUUGAUUCCUGGGCAGGGAA
rnacentral:tRNA from 1 species